rnacentral:rRNA from 1 species
CGGACGGGUGAGUAACGCGCGGAAAACCUGCCGUAUACUGGGGGAUAACACUUAGAAAUAGGUGCUAAUACCGCAUAAGCGCACAGCUUCGCAUGAAGCGGUGUGAAAAACUCUGGUGGUAUACGAUGGUUCCGCGUCUGAUUAGCUAGUUGGUGGGGUAAUGGCCUACCAAGGCAACGAUCAGUAGCCGGCCUGAGAGGGUGAACGGCCACAUUGGGACUGAGACACGGCCCAAACUCCUACGGGAGGCAGCAG